UGGGUAACCUGCCUCAAAGAGGGGAAUAGCCUCCCGAAAGGGAGAUUAAUACCGCAUAAUAUGUUUAAGUCGCAUGACUUUAACAUCAAAGGAUUUUCUUUUAGAACUUCCACUUUGGGAUGGACCCGCGGCGCAUUAGCUAGUUGGUGAGGUAACGGCUCACCAAGGCAACGAUGCGUAGCCGACCUGAGAGGGUGAUCGGCCACAUUGGAACUGAGACACGGUCCAGACUCCUACGGGAGCAG
rnacentral:rRNA from 1 species